UAAGCCGUUGAAGGUGUGUCGUGAGGCAUGCUGGAGGUAUCAGAAGUGCGAAUGCUGACAUAAGUAACGAUAAAGCGGGUGAAAAGCCCGCUCGCCGGAAGACCAAGGGUUCCUGUCCAACGUUAAUCGGGGCAGGGUGAGUCGACCCCUAAGGCGAGGCCGAAAGGCGUAGUCGAUGGGAAACGGGUUAAUAUUCCCGUACUUGGUGUUACUGCGAAGGGGGGACGGAGAAGGCUAUGUUGGCCGGGCGACGGUUGUCCCGGUUUAAGCGUGUAGGUGUGUGUUCCAGGUAAAUCCGGUUCACUUUAACACUGAGGCGUGAUGACGAGGCACUACGGUGCUGAAGCAACAAAUGCCCUGCUUCCAGGAAAAGCCUCUAAGCCUCAGGUAACAUCAAAUCGUACCCCAAACCGACACAGGUGGUCAGGUAGAGAAUACCAAGGCGCUUGAGAGAACUCGGGUGAAGGAACUAGGCAAAAUGGUGCCGUAACUUCGGGAGAAGGCACGCUGACACGUAGGUGAAGUGGUUUACCCAUGGAGCUGAAGUCAGUCGAAGAUACCAGCUGGCUGCAACUGUUUAUUAAAAACACAGCACUGUGCAAACACGAAAGUGGACGUAUACGGUGUGACGCCUGCCCGGUGCCGGAAGGUUAAUUGAUGGGGUCAGCGCAAGCGAAGCUCCUGAUCGAAGCCCCGGUAAACGGCGGCCGUAACUAUAACGGUCCUAAGGUAGCGAAAUUCCUUGUCGGGUAAGUUCCGACCUGCACGAAUGGCGUAAUGAUGGCCAGGCUGUCUCCACCCGGGACUCAGUGAAAUUGAACUCGCUGUGAAGAUGCAGUGUACCCGCGGCAAGACGGAAAGACCCCGUGAACCUUUACUAUAGCUUGACACUGAACACUGGUCCUUGAUGUGCAGGAUAGGUGGGAGGCUUUGAAGUGUGGACGCCAGUCUGCAUGGAGCCGUCCUUGAAAUACCACCCUUUAAUGGCUGGUGUUCUAACGUGGGCCCGUGAACCGGGUUGCGGACAGUGUCUGGUGGGUAGUUUGACUGGGGCGGUCUCCUCCUAAAGAGUAACGGAGGAGCACGAAGGUUGGCUAAUCCUGGUCGGACAUCAGGAGGUUAGUGCAAUGGCAUAAGCCAGCUUGACUGCGAGCGUGACGGCGCGAGCAGGUGCGAAAGCAGGUCAUAGUGAUCCGGUGGUUCUGAAUGGAAGGGCCAUCGCUCAACGGAUAAAAGGUACUCCGGGGAUAACAGGCUGAUACCGCCCAAGAGUUCAUAUCGACGGCGGUGUUUGGCACCUCGAUGUCGGCUCAUCACAUCCUGGGGCUGAAGUAGGUCCCAAGGGUAUGGCUGUUCGCCAUUUAAAGUGGUACGCGAGCUGGGUUUAGAACGUCGUGAGACAGUUCGGUCCCUAUCUGCCGUGGGCGCUGGAAGAUUGAGGGGGGCUGCUCCUAGUACGAGAGGACCGGAGUGGACGCAUCACUGGUGUUCGGGUUGUCAUGCCAAUGGCACUGCCCGGUAGCUACAUGCGGAAGAGAUAAGUGCUGAAAGCAUCUAAGCACGAAACUUGCCCCGAGAUGAAUCUUCCCUGAGCCUUUAAGGCUCCUGAAGGAACGUUGAAGACGACGACGUUGAUAGGCCGGGUGUGUAAGCGCAGCGAUGCGUUGAGCUAACCGGUACUAAUGAACCGUGAGGCUUAACCUUACAAC
rnacentral:rRNA from 1 species